UGAUGCCCAUUUACAGACCAGAACACUGCCCCCAAAAGGACCUGGGAAAUACCAGUGGCCUCUCAGACACGGCGUCAAACACGAGCCUGUCCCCAUACCCCACAGACCCAAAGGAGUCAGGGUCCCUGAUGGGGGGGGUCUCAGGCCACAGAGGAGGCUGGGAGAGGUCAGUAGGCUGAGAUCAGGGAGGACACACCCAGGCUGCCAGCGGCCCUGGGGCUAGUGGGUGUGGCCAGGCCCACUUUGGGUGGGGCUACCAUUGGUUGUGGGUGGGGCCAUCCCAGCAUGUGGGCGUGGCCAGACUGAGCCUUUGAAAUUAACCGUUGUGCAGACCGGAACUCGGGUCACAGCGGCUAGUCAGAGCGUGAACUCCGUGGUGACAAAGCAAGGACGUAAUUGCCUCGGUCGUGGCUAUGUCGCAGGCAUACAGUCAAGGAGGCUUUCCAAGACCUCCCCCACCGAUGACCCCAUGUUGAACCUGGAGACUGGGUGUUCCGGAAGAGACAUCAGGGAGAAACUGCGCUUGACCCUGGAUGGAAAAGACACGACAGAUGGGGAGCAUCUAGUGGAGAUUCCCGGGAGGCGGGCCAGCAGAGGGGCUGAGAGCGUGGGACUAUGGAGGUGGAGAGCUCCGGGCCAAGUCCUGAGCACAUCCCGACCAUGUCGAUUGCAAGGUGUCCGACCUUUGGCAAAGACUCACACUCACCCGGCCUUGGUUUCUUCAUCUGGAAAAUCAGGCAAAGCAGUAGUUCCCACUAUAGGGAUUGUCACAGAGACCAAAGGACUGAGCACAGCGCCCGGCACCAUUUGUGCAUCAUAAAUAAUGGAGAUCGUCAUUAUCAGAAGCUAUCCACUCCCUUGAACGUGCUAAGAUUCAAAAUUGGUGUGGUUGUGGGGGUCCUGGGUGGCUCAGUCGGUUAAGCAUCCGACCUCAGCUCAGGUCAUGAUCUCACGGCUCGUGAGUUCACAUCCCGUGUCAGGCUCUGUGCUGAC